CUGGACGGGGCGCACUUGCUGGGCGCGCAGGGCUGUCUGCACCCUCUGGGAUCUGGCUGGGACAAUGUUUCUUCUUUAAGACACGGCGCUUCCCACGGUAGCUUUGGCUUCUCUUUGCAGCAGCACCGGAACUUUCCCCACUUUCGGCCGUACUAAGAGGGUGAUGGGCGCAAGUCGCCAGCUGAGCAUCCUUUGGUUUCAGUGCUGUGAUCGGCGCUUCACUCUGGACUCCCGGAUCUGACUCGGCUGCUCUUUCUAGUCUAGUAAGAAUGGGCUCUGGGGUAGAGCUGGCGGGAGAAGGGGUUAGAGCAGCCUUGAACCUUAUGCUUAAGCAUGGUCUCCGCGAGAAGAGUGGCCUUUGGGGCUAAUUUCAGUUUCACUAGUCUCGGUGUAGCUAGCCCUAGUCACUCCAGCAUUUAGCAGGGAGCAGGGGGAAGUACUUGAAUCAGCCGCGUGCAUCCUAAAGUUAGAAGAGACACUGAGAAGGAUACGACGUGCAGCUAGGGGUUAUGAGUAGGGACGGCGGGCAGCAGCCACUUCCAAUUUGGGAGUUCAGACUCUGGAGCCCUACUGGUGCUGAGGCAGCCACUUGAUGAACUGGGGUGAGCAGUCUCAGGGCGAACACCCCAAGAGCUGGAGCUUCUGUCUGGCCACUGAGGUCUCAUCCUUUUGCAUCCGAGCAGGGGUCCUUACAAGUAUCAGCAGGAGGAAGUAGGUGGGCUGGUUCCUGGACCUCCGACAGCUUGGGCUGACUGGGAGCGCAGGUGGUUAACAGGGAAGGGUCUUAGAGUUCUGGUGAGGCAUCUCGGCUUUGUCCACCAAAGCUGCAAGCGCCUCAAAAUUUAUUUCCCUCUUGCUUCAGUUACAUGGCCACUUGUCUCGCACCGCACCGCAGGGCGUCUUUAACCCAAGCUUGUCCUUGGAGAAUUGGAAAUAGAAAGCUUUAUAGCCUGCACCUGGGAAGGCAGCCCAAGCCACAAGCUUCUUGCUAGUGUGUUAGUGUGUUUUUUCCCUUGAACGCUGAGUUAUGAAUCAGCCAGAAAUAUGCAUAUGUACAAGUUCACAGACUCUUGGAGUAGCAGCCAUGUGCCAACCCCCACCGGGACUGAAGUAUCCCUUUUGGUGAAGCGUACUGAUCCCAGAACUCUUUUUGCUUUUAACUUUUUAAUGCCCUUCCCUCCGAGAAGAGCAAAGUUAAUAAGAUGUGACAGGCAAAAAUCCCUGCUUGGAGGCGGCCUCAGUGGGAGAGGGGGUAUUUCCAUUGAGUCCUUAGUCUGAUAUUUCCUGUAAUCCUUGAUACGGGGAUAGCCCAUCUGCUGACUCAGGCAACCAAACCUGUGCACAUCAGUGACUAAGCUUCGUCAAAACAUCUUUGCUACAAGCAAGCAAACAACAAACCAGCAACAAAACCCCAAUAUAAUUUAGGAAUGGCAGUCUGACAAUGUAGUUAGUGUUGUUGACCGCUUGGCUAUUUAGGAACAGACGUUUGAUUUGCUUUGAAGAAUUCUACAACCGAUUCUUGGAUGAGGCACAUUUCUGCUAACUUGAGAGUCACAAGUCAGGGGUGCAAGCCCACGUCCUCUGGGUUGGAAAUACAGGUCUUGUUAAGAUUUCCAGGGUCUCUCCAACUGAUGGUGACUAAUGUCCUCUCCAAAUGACCCAGAGAUUUGGCAUCACUCUUUGGUGCACAGAGCUUUCUAGGUGUGGAUGCUUUCUGAUCAAUAGUUUGUUUCAAUAGCUUGAUCGAUGGCUGUGUUUCAAGGUUUCCUCCCUUAAGUUCCUCUCCCAUCCUGUUUUUCUAGACUUCGCUCUCUUCUCUCAGUGCUAACUACCUUUGACAUGUCACAAUGUGUUGGAAGACUUAAGUCAUGAUUUGAUUGGCUUGUUUUCCCUGUUAUCUGUAAUAAAGUUCUUCAGAAAGGCAGUUUGCAGGUUGUGAAUGGUUGUAUUAUUUCACCUCAUUGCAAAAUAGACCUGUGAAUAUCUCUUUGCUAUUGAAUAUUCUUUAUUGGAAGCAGCCUCUGAUAUUUCUAGGACUGGACUGUUCUAGGUCACUUGGAUUUCAAUAUUCAUUUUGUGAUCUUUUUUGAGGCGUGUAUUGUUUGAUAACCUAGUUCCUGCUAGUAAAAAAGAACAGAUCUUUGCUUUGUCCCCACACCCACCUCCUUUUCUGUGUCACAGAGCCUUUGUUAAUAGCAGAUUUGUCUGCCCCCUUCGUUUACUGUCACACUUAUUACAAUACUUUGUUAUGUAAAUGAUAUAUCGAUGCAUAUGAUAUUAAAACUGUAUUCACUGGGGAUUAACCAAUGGGCAUGAUGUCAUCAGCAGCCAAUCCUCUGCCUGUUUUGAGCUUGCAUUGACCAAAAUCACCCUAUCAUACCGAGUAUACUGGGUAUGGAAUCCUAUAUUGCCUGUGGUAAGGGGAUGGAGUCUUUUUUGACACUUUCCAACUCUCCAAUUAGUUGCCUGGUUGUAGAGUUUGGGGGAGUUUCUAUGUUACGUGGCUUAGCCUAAUGCUAAAAUUUUCCAAUCGGGGUUUUACAAUCUCAUUAGAACUUGCAUAGGUGUACUCUCCCCUUUAUGUUCCCUUUCCCUUUGGGGGUUUUCAGCCCCUCUGUGGCUCUGUUUCCUUAGGAAACAUCAUGGGAAAUGGACUAGGUUUGUGUGUGCUCUGUCCACCAUACUGCAGCCACCGGAGCAGUGGGCUGAAUUGUUGGCGUACAGGUGUUUGCAUCAUCGGAUGUUGGUGCCAGGUCAUCCAGGAUCACAAGAUGUCUUCAAAGCCUCCCUCCACUUGAUCAUUCGGUGUUAAGUUAUCCUCCCUGAAGAUGGCCUGGGACUGAGAGUAAGAAACAGGUGAAGCUGUGUGCCAUGGGCUUGGGGAGACACUCUCAGUCACCUUCCUCACUCCAUAACUAUUUGGUCUGAAAAUGCUAUUUCACAAAGCUAAUGUCAGAGCCUUAGGUGGUUCAGGCUUGGAGAACUGUCCCAUGGAAUUGCAUUUCUAAUAUAUUGCCUGCUCAAUUUUCACUCCGCAGUAUAACCAUUUCUCCCAAGAGACCACCAACUCUGUCUACCCAUCUAUUUGAUAUUUGUGUAAAAAUAAAAAUAACUUGCAGUUUUAUGGUCAACAUUUAAGUUCAGUCCACUUUCCUCUAGAAAGCCUGUCCAAGGGGUGUUUUUUUCCCCUUUUUAUUCAAAUAGGAACUUAAUUAUGCAUUCUGGUUUAAGAAAUACAAAGGCUCUAUCUGGAAAGUAGCUCUGAGAUCUGAUCUCAGAGGGAGGAGUUAUAACGCCUUGAUCCCGGUGUGCUAUGUAUUCUGGGAGCAUGGAUUGGGAUCCCAGAGUCUUGAUUCUCAGCCCCGGUGUCUGCUCCAAGCAAGACUUACAUGCAGUAGUUUCUAUGCUGUGGUGAGACCCUUCUCUUGGCUUUCUCAGCAGAGGAGAGCCUUGUAGAUUUCUUUCAGCAGCUUGCCUCAGCUGUUGGAACACUGCUUUGGUAAAAACCAGGUACUGGGAUGUGACACCUAUGCACCUGAUUGGCAUCCAGUAUUGGGGGUACUUGAUAAUACCAUGACAACCUGACAAAUCCAAAGGAGGUGCUGUUACUCAACAGGCAAUGGAGUCACAGACAAACUGUUUUCUUUUUUGAAAUUGAGUACUGCUGGCACAUAUAAAGAAAGUGUUCUGCCUAGAAAAGAAUGACGAUUUUAAAAUAAUGAAGUAAAGAGAGAGUUGGAUUUUUUUUUGUUGUUGUUUUUGCUAA
rnacentral:lncRNA from 1 species